UGGGGAAUAUUGGACAAUGGGGGCAACCCUGAUCCAGCAAUGCCGCGUGUGUGAAGAAGGUCUUCGGAUUGUAAAGCACUUUCGACGGGGACGAUGAUGACGGUACCCGUAGAAGAAGCCCCGGCUAACUUCGUGCCAGCAGCCGCGGUAAUACGAAGGGGGCUAGCGUUGCUCGGAAUGACUGGGCGUAAAGGGCGUGUAGGCGGUUUACACAGUCAGAUGUGAAAUCCCCGGGCUUAACCUGGGAGCUGCAUUUGAUACGUGUAGACUAGAGUGUGAGAGAGGGUUGUGGAAUUCCCAGUGUAGAGGUGAAAUUCGUAGAUAUUGGGAAGAACACCGGCGGCGAAGGCGGCAACCUGGCUCAUGACUGACGCUGAGGCGCGAAAGCGUGGGGAGCAAACAGGAUUAGAUACCCUGGUAGUCCAC
rnacentral:rRNA from 1 species